rnacentral:misc_RNA from 1 species
AAGACUAUAGACCUGCGGAGUACCUGCGGAAGGAUCAUUAUCGAAAAAGAAAUCGUUCUAAGGAAUGUUGCUGGCAUUAAGGUGCAUCGUGCACUUCCUGGGACAAACUUCUUUGAAAUAAACCUCUUUUUAAAUCCUUGUGCACUUGCUUGUAGGGUUUAAAGUUGGGUUUGAACAAUAGCUUUCAAUCCCAGCCCCUAUGUUAUUGUUUUCAUUCACGCCAGAAUGUUAUACGAAUGU